CAGUAGCCGCGGGAAUACAGAGGAUGCAAGCGUUAUUCGGAAUGAUUGGGCGUAAAGCGUCUGUAGGUAGCUUUUCAAGUCUGCCGUCAAAUCCCUGGGCUCAACCUUGGACAGGCAGUGGAAACUACCAAGCUGGAGUAUGGUAUGGGCAGAGGGAAUUUCCAGUGGAGCGGUGAAAUGCGUUGAGAUCGGAAAGAACACCAACGGCGAAAGCACUCUGCUGGGCCGACACUAACACUGAGAGACGAAAGCUAGGGGAGCAAAUGGGAUUAGAUACCCCCGUAGUCCCUGUCUCUUAUAC
rnacentral:rRNA from 1 species